rnacentral:rRNA from 1 species
AUUGAACGCUGGCGGAAUGCUUUACACAUGCAAGUCGAGCGGCAGCACGGGGCCAACCCUUGUGGCGAGCGGCGAACGGGUGAGUAACACAUAGGAACAUGCCCAGUCGUGGGGGAUAACACUCCGAAAGAAGUGCUAAUACCGCAUACGUCCUGAGGGAGAAAGCGGGGGAUCGUAAGACCUCGCGCGAUUAGAGUGGCCUAGGUCAGAUUAGCUAGUUGGUGGGGUAAAGGCCUACCAAGGCAACGAUCUGUAGCUGGUCUGAGAGGAUGAUCAGUCACACUGGAACUGAGACACGGUCCAGACUCCUACGGGAGGCAGCAGUGGGGAAUAUUGGACAAUGGGGGCAACCCUGAUCCAGCCAUUCCGCGUGAGUGAAGAAGGCCUUCGGGUUGUAAAGCUCUUUCGGUAGGGACGAAGCGCUGAGAGCUAAUAUAGCUCGCUAAUGACGUUACCUGAAAAAGAAGCACCGGCUAACUACGUG